UGCGGAUGACCCUCCGAUAUUUGUCUCAAGCCCAGCCUCUCCCCCGUGAACUGCAGCCCUAACCUGAGUCUCCAUCUGCCUGCUUACGAUUUCAACUUGGACGUUAAUAGACAUUUCACACUUAACAUGCUCCAAACGGAACUCUUGGUUUUCCCAUACAGAUACUUUCUUCCUUCAGUCUCCCAUCUUGGUUAUGGGAAUGCCAUCAUCCAAAGUACCCGUGAUCGCGACUUCUCUCUGUUUCUAAUGUCCAUCCAACCCAGCAGCGCAUCUCGGUUACUCUGCCUGCAGUAGGUCUGGAAUACGACCCGUCAGAACUUCUUGCUGCUGUCACCCUGGCCCGAGCCACCUUCACUUUUCAUCCGCUCCUCCUCUGCUCCUGACAGGAGUUUGUAGUGUACAGUAUCUGAUACACAGAUAGGCCGUUCGGCGAUUUGAAGAAAACCAGUGUGGGCAGCGCAGUGUUGACAUUUCUCCCUUUGUGUGUCAUAGGACAAGCUUCGAGGGUCUUCCUAUUUGACCUCACUACCUGGACUCUUUAGUUGUGAUGUCACAGAGGAGGUGGGAGCAGAACUUGGUGGCGUGGGGGAAGAAGAGGCGGUGACCUUGGCGCGGAGGAGCUUGGCAGGGCAGAAGCCAAGAGAACUCAGAGGAGUUUAACUCCCUGAGUAAGUGACAACCCCUUGGAGACUCCGCCCAGCUGAGGAGGGUGCUGGUAUGCAGAAGACAGCCGUCAUACUGUGAGAUAAUGUAUGCCCCUUUGCAUUUAUUGGGAACCAAAAAAAAGGGAGAGAGAGGUGCCUGGCAGCCUGGCUCUGUGCAGUAAGUAUUUGUCUGUAUUCUUUUGUUCCUUCAAACAUCGGAAGUGGAUAGAUGUUUAUUGACCCCAGCCGGCUGCUGUGCCUUCUCCAUUCUGUCCCUGCACACCCCCACCCUUGGUCCUCCAGAAGAGAGGACUAGAUUGUUUUUCUCAUGCUGCCAGAGAGCUGUAGAGAUGCUAGAACUUGGUGUUCAGCCCCCUCACAUUCAGGAGAAGUUGCUUUUCCCUAAAAUAGAGCCAAAAGCCCGUGUCGCUCAGUGCAGAGUGUUAAUGGGCAAAUGGCAGGACCCUGUGUGCCCUCACUGCCCCCAACAGGGAGGUGAGGCUCAGUUGGCUGGCUGAGGGAGGCUGGGCCUUGCCAGCAUCUAGCAUGGUUCUCUGCCAAGUUCUAGCUCCAAAUCUCUAGGCCGGUUGGAACCUAGACUAUAUAUAGCAUUCUGCUAAGCAAUUCUUAUCGGACGUGUCUGCCCUCCCCCGUGGGAGAGGAGUACUUCUAUCAGAGAAUCAGAACCUAGAGAGUGAGACAUCUCUGAGGGGCCUUUCAUUCUGGGAGGGGUGUGUGUGUGUGUGUGUGUGCGUGCACGUGUGUGUGCACGUGCUCACACACGCCUGUGUCUAAUUCAGGGCUGCCAAGCUUUCUUUCCCCCAGAUCAGAUGCUGAUAGACACAAAGGUCAUAUGGAUGAGGGCACUGAUGUGGGAGGGGCUGACAACCUCGAUGGAUUUGGGCUCUGGAUGGGGAACAGGAGGGACUGGGCGCACCAUGUGGCUGAAGGCACAGUGCGACCCGUGGCUGAAGGCACAGUGUGCCCCGUGGCACAGUCCAGCCUCCGCUCUGUCUUCCGGGUUUCCUGUUUGCCUUGCUUUGCCUAAGGAUGUCUUCUGACCUCCCUUUUCCUUCUUUUGGACCUCUUGUCUUCCCUGCCUUCCUUCUCCCCAUCCUCCUCCUUUCUUUAUUUUCUUUAGGAUGUAUGAGGGCAGACUGAGCUCCAGUAUCCAUCCGGGAGCUUUGUGGGCUCCCUGCCCUCAGCCCCCUUUGGCGUUUCUGAAAAUGUGCCUUUACUAGGCAGAGGUGCCAGCUGUCCUCAGGAGAGCUGGCUCGUGACUGAGCAUGUCAUGCUGGGUGGUCUAUGCAGAGUGGGCUGGAUAUCUGCCUUCUCCCUCAUAGGCACUGCUCAGCCAGCACUCCGCGGGUCUGUGACCGAGUGCUGAUUGAUGUGACAGAUGACCGGUCUUGUCAGUGACUCAUCACCAGGCUGCUUCAUGGAAACCAGAUGCAGCAUGGAAAAUACCGUGUAAUCCCUGCCCUGCCUCCCAGGAGCCCCGAAACCAGCAUUCCCAGUGGCAGGAAGAAGCCUGAGCUGGGCUCUGCCUCCGGCACCCCUCCCCCGCGCUGGCUGGAACUUGCGUCAGUCAUGUAAGUAGCUGUGACUCAGCACCCAGCCCUGUUGGGAGGGAGAAGCUGCUGCCUCCAAGAACCUUCUCAGCGUUCAGGGUUUGAACACAUCGUGGCUGCACAGAACAGAUCAGCAGCAUUAGGUCCCUGGGGGUGAAUCUCUGUUUGUUCCGUGGAUUUGGUUAUGGAUUUCAUAUACGAGGAUGCCUCCCCUUCCCAUUUUCCGCCCAUGUUAUUUUGGGGGCGCCAUGCUGGGCAUAGGAUUUUUAGGACUUUGAAAGACACAGCCCCCCUCACAGAAUGAAGUAGGAGCUCUUGGGGCCGAAGUAGGAGCUCUCCGGACUGUCCUGAACCCACGGCCAUGAGUCGUGCUGGGCCCUCAGAUGUUUCCGUCUGGCCUGAACAGUUGUUUCGUAACGCGCCUGAGUUUGCGUGCCUUCAGACAAAGCGUGGCCUCUGCGGGUCGCUCGGCUUCGGCCGCACGCUGUCGCCGCUUCUCUGGCCCAAGGUUCCCGCCGAGCCUUCAGAGCAUGGGAACACGCGGCGACCCAUCUGCGCCAGCGGUCAGAGGAACCCUCUGGGGCCCAGGCCAGGGACCUGUCGCAGUCGGGGCCGAGCAGGAAGUACAGCCACUGGGUUCUGAUUCACUGGUGGUGACCUUUCCUCCACGCUCAGGUCUCUGCCAGGCCGAGGAGUGUUCCGGGCGCGGUGGGGUGGACAGCCCUGCACACAGAAUGUGGGUGCAGAAGUGCCCUGGGCUGCAGUGGCUCCCUUUCUGCACCGUGGCACCUCCCGAGUGACAAGCCCGCUCCUCUGGGUGGGCGCUUUCCUUCCCUGUCCCCUGACCAGUGUGUUUGGGGCCAUUAGGCCAAGGUGGGAGGGCCCUGCCACCUGCAGGUGACAGCAGAGCCCUCAGCAGGUGGAGCGUUCCUGGGCCACCUUCUCACAGACCCCGGUGCUCAGCGGGUGCCGGGCGAGCAGGCCCCCUGCAGCCCUCAGCAAACCUCCACGACAUCCCACUUGGGCACAAAACCAGCCGCUCAUUUCCGGUGAGUCACUGCUCAGCAGGCUCGGGAGAGAGGCUGGUUCCGGGGGGAAAGUUGAGACCUGAACACACCGUUUGAUCCAGCAGGAUUGGAAGGGCAGAAGGUUCGGGUACUAAGAUUACUCUCUCUCCCCUCUUCCUCUUUCAGAGUGUUCACAGUGAUGCAUUGUUAAUGACUUCUUUUUUUAUCUCUUCUUCCAGAGAACUGAGAGGAUUGUGGGACUGAGAAGUUGGAGCCCACACUCUGGCUGGUGUCCCCUAGGUCCUCGGUGCUGGGUGCAGCCCCCUCUGAACUCCUGGCUGGCGUCUCCUGGGUAGCCGGAGAGACAUUAAUUAAUCACCCCGAUGAUCAGAUGACACAAGUGUGUUCUGAAGGGUCAGAAGUAGAUGCUGGGAGGUGGUGACUUAGCUGAAAGCUGGGCUGAGGUGGGGCGGGGGGACCUCCCCUGAGAAUGAGAUCUG